UGGUCCUACGGGGGGCAGCAGUGAGGAAUAUCGGUCAAUGGGCGAGAGCCUGAACCAGCCAAGUCGCGUGAGGGAAGACGGUCCUAUGGAUUGUAAACCUCUUUUGCCGGGGAGCAAAAAGCGGUACGUGUACCGCAUCGAGAGUACCCGGAGAAAAAGCAUCGGCUAACUACGUGCCAGCAGCCGCGGUAAUACGUAGGUGGCAAGCGUUGUCCGGAUUUAUUGGGCGUAAAGCGAGUGCAGGCGGGUCAAUAAAUCUGAU
rnacentral:rRNA from 1 species